GACAGAGGGUGCAAACGUUGUUCGGAAUUACUGGGCGUAAAGCGAGUGUAGGCGGUGUGGUAAGUCGGAUGUGAAAGCCCCGGGCUCAACCCGGGAAGUGCACUCGAUACUGCCACGCUAGAGUAUCGGAGAGGUUGGUGGAAUUCUCGGUGUAGAGGUGAAAUUCGUAGAUAUCGAGAGGAACACCGGUGGCGAAGGCGGCCAACUGGACGAAUACUGACGCUGAGACUCGAAAGCGUGGGGAGGCAAACAGG
rnacentral:rRNA from 1 species